rnacentral:tRNA from 1 species
GGAUUUAGCUCAGCGGUAGAGCGCUUGCCUAGCAAGCACAAGGCCCUGGGUUCGGUCCCCAGCUCCA